rnacentral:rRNA from 1 species
GAUGAACGCUGGCGGCGUGCCUAAUACAUGCAAGUAGAACGCUGAAGGAGGAGCUUGCUCUUCUGGAUGAGUUGCGAACGGGUGAGUAACGCGUAGGUAACCUGCCUGGUAGCGGGGGAUAACUAUUGGAAACGAUAGCUAAUACCGCAUGACAACAGUUAUUGCAUGAUAACUGUUUAAAAGGGGCAACUGCUCCACUACCAGAUGGACCUGCGUUGUAUUAGCUAGUUGGUGAGGUAACGGCUCACCAAGGCGACGAUACAUAGCCGACCUGAGAGGGGGGUCGGCCACCCUGGGACUGGGACAACGCCCAGGCUCCUACGGGGAGCAGCAAGAGGGGAUCUUCGGCAAUGGGCGGAAGUCUGACCGAGCAACGCCGCGUGGGUGGAGGAGGGUUUCGGAUCGGAAAGCUCUGUUGUAAGGGAAGAACGAGUGUGAGAGUGGAAAGUUCACGCUGUGACGGUAUCUUACCAGAAAGGGACGGCUAACUACGUG